CCCAGCUUGGCUGCACUCAGAGGGUAUGAGCAGGCCAAACUGUCUUGCUUCUCACCCUUUCAAUAAAGAUUCUCUUUUGAACACUCCAGGGCAGAUUUCAUGGUUUAGCCAAUUGCUCUGAAAGCUCUUCGAGGCACAUAGAGCACCCUGAAACUCUGAUUCAUUGGAACAUUCAGAACUCUGAGCUUUUAGGCAAGGUGAAGCUGCUCCCUCCCCCAGCAUGAGACCCGGGUUUGGAAGCCCAGAUUAAGAAGGGUUUGACUUUUUCUUUCAUCUUCUAGAUCCUUCCAUCACCACCUCCAAAGCCCAGGCUGAUGUCAAACUUGCAAUGAUCCUCCUGCCUCCGCCUCCCAGUGCUGGGAUUACAGAUGCCAUUGGCUUGCAGUUAAUCCAGAAGCCCUGACUUUCUUCGGUUGCUGCCUGGACAGUAGGAGGGGGCUGUUCGCUCUGUAGUGCUGGAGCUGAAACCCAGGCCCUCAUGCCCGCUAGGCAAACACGAACCUCUGAACAGCACUCCCAGCCCUGACUCACUUCUUGGCCUGUUUACAUCUCUGUUCUGCUACCUUUUGCUGGAAAAACAUCAGUGGCCAUUUGCAACUGACCACAAAUUCUCCCCACUGCUGUGCGCAGGCCUCCCACCAUAACUGUCUUGCCCUCACACAGAGAGACCAUAGUUGGCAGCGCCAAGGCAGAAAUAGCACGGCAGAAGGGCCCGGGCAGAAGGAACCUGCUCAUCCAAUGACAGCCAGGAAGUGAGAGAGAAGGGAGGAGCCAGGAACAAGAACACACUCUCCCAGGUGACAUCCUAGUGACCUGCCUCCAAGCAGGCCUCUCCUCUGACAGCACACUCUGCUCCUCAGCCCAUCUCUGCAUGAAUCCACAGCAAAACAGCUCAGGCCAAUGUCAACUGAGGAGUCAGCCCUCCAGAGACACACAAGGAAGGGCCCAGCUCUAAAGGCAUCAGGACAGGGUGAGAAGCACUUCUCUGGGGAGGCAAGCGAUGUGGCCCAAGAAAGAGAGUGUUGUGCUUUGUGUCUAGACAUACCCCCAAAGCUUCAUGCAGUCAGAGGUGGGGCUUUUUCAGAGGGGGCUGGAUCUAGAGUACAUGGUGCUGGGAUUGAUUCAAGGUGCAAUGCUAGGGUGAAGGACAUUAGGAUUAAGGGUGUGAGUGCUACCUGCCUGAAGCAGCCUGGAGAAGAUACAAGGGAUAGAAAGAGCUGUGGUCUGCCAGGCCUGGUGGCACGUGCUUAUAAUCCCAACACUCAGGAGGCUGAGGCAGGAGGAUCACCAUGAGUUCGAGGCCAACCUGGGCUACAUAAGUGAGUUCAAGACCAGUCUACAUGACAUAGUAACAGUGUAGCAAAAAAAAAGAUAAAAGAAAGAGAGAGAAAGAUUUGCAGUCAUCCCUUGUUGCUUUGUUAUCUUCUGCCCACCACAAACUAUUUCUCCACUGCAGUGUCUCUCUACCGUGAGCCACCCUGCCUUGCAUCCGGUUGAUUAUGAACUGAAACCUCUACAAAAAUGUGGGCUAAAUAAAUCUUUUCCCUUUAA